CUGUCUUCUUGAGCAACAGUCACUAAAUUAUUUAUAACUGGAGUUACAAAACUCCAAAUCAAUUUCCGUAAAAUUUCCCUGAAAAUAGACUCAUAUAUCUUUUAUCCAUAAAAUUUUCAGAAUUUUUAGUUUGGCCAAUAAAUACCAUAUUUUUCUUAAAGUUUAUCCUGUUUCACUAUUUGACUAAACUGACUACCCUUUACUACGAAUCAAAUUUCUAAUUGUACAGAAG
rnacentral:lncRNA from 1 species